rnacentral:rRNA from 1 species
AUUGAACGCUGGCGGCAGGCUUAACACAUGCAAGUCGAGCGAGCGGCGGACGGGUGAGUAAUGUCUGGGAAACUGCCUGAUGGAGGGGGAUAACUACUGGAAACGGUAGCUAAUACCGCAUACCAUCAGAUGUGCCCAGAUGGGAUUAGCUAGUAGGUGGGGUAAUGGCUCACCUAGGCGACGAUCCCUAGCUGGUCUGAGAGGAUGAUCAGCAACAAUGGGACUGAGACACGGCCCAGACGCCUACGGAGGGAAGCAGUGGGGAAUAUUGCACAAUGGGCGCAAGCCUGAUGCAGCCAUGCCGCGUGUAUGAAGAAGGCCUUAGGGUUGUAAAGUACUUUCAGCGGGGAGGCGUUACCCGCAGAAGAAGCACCGGCUAACUCCGUGCCAGCAGCCGCGGUAAUUC